UACGAAGGGGGCUAGCGUUGUUCGGAAUUACUGGGCGUAAAGCGCGCGCAGGCGGUUCUUUAAGUCAGGGGUGAAAGCCCAGAGCUCAACUCUGGAAUUGCCUUUGAAACUAGAGAACUUGGGUACGGGAGAGGUGAGUGGAAUUCCGAGUGUAGAGGUGAAAUGCGCAGAUAUCAGGAGGAACACCGGUGGCGAAGGCGGAUCUCUGGGCCUUACCUGACGCUCAGGCACGAAAGCUAGGGGAGCGAACAGG
rnacentral:rRNA from 1 species